rnacentral:rRNA from 1 species
UACGGGGGGGGCAAGCGUUGUUCGGAAUUACUGGGCGUAAAGGGUGCGUAGGCGGCUUUCUAAGUUGGAUGUGAAAACUAUGGGCUCAACCCAUAGCCUGCAUCCAAAACUAGAGAGCUUGGGUUCUGGAGGGGAAAGCGGAAUUCCUGGUGUAGCGGUGAAAUGCGUAGAUAUCAGGAGGAACACCGGUGGCGAAGGCGGCUUUCUGGACAGAUACCGACGCUGAGGCACGAAAGCUAGGGGAGCAAACAGG